UGUACUUUAAUAUGUAAAUAGACACCUACAGCAUAUCUAAACAUCCCUGCUUAGAAAUCCAAUCCUAAUAUGUCGUCAACGUCAGAGUUUGAAUCGUCGAUAAUGGGUCACAUCCAUACACUUUCACAAUAGACAAUGACUUUAAUAUGAAUUCCCUUCUUUUAACGGCAGAUACUCAUCGUGGUGACCGUCCUACAUUGACCUGUGUAGACACUCGCUCUCCAGGCAGAUAUUUCUUCUCAAGAACUGGUCUGUCCUGGGAGAGAGGAAGCUGUGUGCCUUGGGUGUGUUGGUCUCACCCCCACCAAAUUCUCGGUGUUGGUCUCUUGGUUUGGGUUUUCUUUAAACCUCACCUUGCCAUAAAUCUUUUCUUGAAAUACGAGAAUUAUAAAUCAACUUGAAAUACCAGAAUUAUAACAACAACUUGAAAGAUCUGAAUCUCUCUUGGUUUGGGUUUUCUUUAAACCUCACCUUGCCAGAAAAAUCCUUUCUUGAAAUACCAGAAUUAUAACAACAACUUGAAAUAUUUGAAUUAUCAUUGUUGGUUGAAGAAAAAAUUCACUGUGUCCAACUGUAAGCAUUUGGGUGAUAUUGUGUUUAACUACACACCCCACACAAGUUUAACAACCAUCUUUGAAUACUACUGAUAUAUAUUUGUAUAUUGCUGAAUUCAAAACAACUUCAUAUAUAUAUACACACACACACAAACUUUAUUACUGCAGGCUUGACAACUGUUUAACUUGUUUCUGUGAAAUUACCUGAAAGCAUUUUAGAAAUCUCCGACCUUCAUCUUUGAGUAAAUUAUUGUCUUUAGUUUUUUUGUGAAUUAUAGAAUAUUGGUUCUUUACUGUUUUG